GCAGUCGUGGCCGAGUGGUUAAGGCGAUGGACUUAAUAUCCGGUGGGGUCUCCCCGCACAGGUUCUAAUCCUGUCUUCUGCA